rnacentral:misc_RNA from 1 species
GGAAUAUUGCACAAUGGGCGCAAGCCUGAUGCAGCCAUGCCGCGUGUAUGAAGAAGGCCAUCGGGUUGUAAAGUACUUUCAGCGGGGAGGAAGGCGGUGAGGUUAAUAACCUCAUCGAUUGACGUUACCCGCAGAAGAAGCACCGGCUAACUCCGUGCCAGCGGCCGCGGUAAUACGGAGGGUGCAAGCGUUAAUCGGAAUUACUGGGCGUAAAGCGCACGCAGGCGGUCUGUCAAGUCGGAUGUGAAAUCCCCGGGCUCAACCUGGGAACUGCAUUCGAAACUGGCAGGCUAGAGGCUUGUAGAGGGGGGUAGAAUUCCAGGUGUAGCGGUGAAAUGCGUAGAGAUCUGGAGGAAUACCGGUGGCGAAGGCGGCCCCCUGGACAAAGACUGACGCUCAGGUGCGAAAGCGUGGGGAGCAAACAGGA